UCGUAACAAGGUCUCCGUUGGUGAACCAGCGGAGGGAUCAUUACCGAGUUUUCAACUCCCUAACCCUUAUGUGAACCUACCUAUUGUUGCUUCGGCGGACUCGCCCCAGCCGGACGCGGACUGGACCAGCGGCCGCCGGGGACCCUCAAACUCUUGUAUUAUCAGCAUCUUCUGAAUACGCCGCAAGGCAAAACAAAUAAAUCAAAACUUUCAACAACGGAUCUCUUGGCUCUGGCAUCGAUGAAGAACGCAGCGAAAUGCGAUAAGUAAUGUGAAUUGCAGAAUCCAGUGAAUCAUCGAAUCUUUGAACGCACAUUGCGCCCGCCAGCAUUCUGGCGGGCAUGCCUGUUCGAGCGUCAUUUCAACCCUCGACCUCCCUUUGGGGAAGUCGGCGUUGGGGACCGGCAGCACACCGCCGGCCCUGAAAUGGAGUGGCGGCCCGUCCGCGGCGACCUCUGCGUAGUAAUCCAACUCGCACCGGAACCCCGACGCGGCCACGCCGUAAAACACCCAACUUCUGAACGUUGACCUCGAAUCAGGUAGGACUACCCGCUGAACUUAAGCAUAUCAAUA
rnacentral:rRNA from 1 species